rnacentral:rRNA from 1 species
UACCUGCAGCUCAAGUGGUGACCGCUAUUAUUGGGCCUAAAACGUUCGUAGCCGGUUUGGUAAAUGCCUGGGUAAAUCGUGUAGCUUAACUAUACGAAUUCCGGGUAGACUGCCAAACUUGAGACCGGGAGAAGCUAGAGGUACUCCUGGGGUAGAGGUGAAAUUCUGUAAUCCUAGGGGGACCACCAGUGGCGAAGGCGUCUAGCUAGAACGGGUUUGACGGUGAGGAACGAAGCCCUGGGGCGCAAACCGGAUUAGAUACCCGGGUAGUCCAGGGUGUAAACGCUGCUUGCUUGAUGUUAGUUGGGCUCCGAGCCCAAUUAGUGUCGGAGAGAAGUUGUUAAGCAAGCUGCCUGGGAAGUACGAUCGCAAGGUUGAAACUUAAAGGAAUUGGCGGGGGAGCACAGCAACGGGUGGAGCGUGCGGUUU